CAUAGCGACUAUCGUGGCAUAUCAAUAAGCGGAGGAAAAGAAACUAACAAGGAUUCCCUUAGUAACGGCGAGUGAAGCGGGAAGAGCUCAAAUUUGAAAUCUUCAAGGUUCUACCUUGACGAAUUGUAGUUUAAUAGAAGUGUUUUCUGUUAGUAGGAGUGGCAAAAGUUCUUUGGAAUAGGACAUCAUAGAGGGCUGAGAAUCCCGUAUUUGGUCAUUCUUUCUAGCUUUGCGAUACACUUUCAACGAGUCGGAUUGUUUGGGAAUGCAGUCCAAAAUGGGUGGUAAAUUUCAUCUAAAGCUAAAUAUUGGCGAGAGACCGAUAGCGAACAAGUACCGUGAGGGAAAGAUGAAAAGAACUUUGAAAAGAGAGUUAAACAGUACGUGAAAUUGUCAAAAGGGAAGCGUUUGACACCAGUGUCGUUUUUCCGAAAAUCAAUUAUAAAUGUUUUGUUUCUGAGGAGUGAUGACUUCAUCGGCUUCCUUCUCUCUUCACGAAACUUUUGUAAUGCACUUUUCGGUUAACAAGUCAACAUCAAUUUCUUUUGUUGUAAAAGGGUAUGAGGAAGGUGGCUUUCUUUUCGGAGAAAGUGUUUAUAGCCUUGUACCUCUGCAAUCGGAGAGAUUGAGGUCUGCAGCGUAGAUCCUUCGGGGUUAGAUACAUUUGUGCUAAGUUAUAGCUUUUCAUAGACAACUUGUUGACUAUGUUUAGUCUUGUAGCUUACUCGCUUAUGCUAUUUUACCUACGCUUAGGAUGUUGACGAGACUGUCGAUCUC
rnacentral:rRNA from 1 species